CUUGCUGCCAUGCAAGAUGUGACUUUGCUCUUCAUUCACCUUCUGCCAUGAUUGUGAGGGCUCCCCAGCCAUGUAGAACUAAAUUGUGGAGCCACCAUCUCUAAACAUCCUGCCUAACAGGACUUCUAGAAGUUCGCCAAAGGUCUCCUCAACCCCAGUUCAGUGAUAUAAUUUUGGUUUCUGAAGAGUGUUGACAUUUAUGGAUCGUCUGGUUGGAGAACUAAAGAAAUUUCUGGCAAGUGGAUACCACAUUGACAAGGUGCUCAUCAGCUGGUACAAUGGACCUUUAUCUCAGAGUUUAAAUUUAUUUGCAAGUGAUCUGAAAAGUCCAAGGUUAAGAUGCAAGACUGGCUAGAAGGAUAAGCAGUGGGAACAACGGCACAGGAGAUGUCCUUAUGGGUCCCCAACACUUUCUCUUUUGCCCUUUGGCAGGUGCUAGUGACAGACAUGGGGCUUCACCAUGUUGCCCAGGGCUGUUCUCGACCUCCUGGAUUCAAGCAAUCCUUCCACCUCGGCCUCCCAAAGUGCUGGGAUUACAGGCAUGAGCCACCUCGCCACUGGCUGGACUCCUCCGAUUGACUUCUAUUCACCAGAAUGUUGAUGGCUCUGGUUCUCACCCUGUUGUUGUUUGCAUGGGAAUAUUCCCUAGAAAAGAGAUAAGGCCUCUCUCCUGCCUUUCUUCCACCCAGAUUAAGACUGUGAGAUGAAGACAGAAACAGCAUCCGCUGAGGCACCUUCUCUUCUGUCCCACUAGGAUAUAACCUCCGCCGGAGGGGACUGUCCUAGACUCUGAGGGGAAGAUUAUCAACUGCACAGGACUUUAUCAGGGAGAAUUCUUGGGGUCAACACUGCAGGAGGCAGACGAAGAAGCAGGACUGGGCAGAGGGAGACAUUGGGCUGUGAUGUCAUCACCACAGAUGCCACAGCUCAGCCUACAGGGAGUUCUGAAGAUAGGAUCACCCUUCAGAACUGUCUAGAUUUGGCUAGAGAGCCAGACCUUUGGAUCCCUUGGUGACCAAUAAUUGGAUGUAGAAAGAGGGAGUGAUGCUGAACAAGACCCAGUGUGUCUUCAAAUAGGUAAGACCUAGCAGGGAUGACAGCUGGACUAGUGAGUGGUGGCUGCACUCCCUGGCUGGAGAUGGAGACCCCAUCACACCAUCAGCCAUGAGUUCCAAACCAGCCUUUUCACAACCAUCACCCCAGCAAGGCGGACAGUACCAGUGCUCAGUAGUUGCCUCUGUUUUGGUGGCUAUUGUUCUCCUGAAACUGCCUUUGCAAAGAUUAUGACAGCGAGAUAAUCUAGCCUGGCUGUGUCCACCUUACUUCUAGCCUCACAGGCUGGCUGUCCUCAUUCAUUCCUGGGUGUGGGCCAAGCUAACCUUGGGAAGCAUUUAAUUUAUAGUUUAACUUUGAAGCAAGGAUGAUAAUAGUCCCUCCCUAAAACUGACACCUUCCUUCUUCAGGGGCUUAAACCCUGACUAAUGAAAGGCCACAAGAUUAGGAUUAUGAGAGGGGCCUGCAUUCUGCUAAAAUGUAGGCAUAGUUUCUAUAAUUUCUUACUGCUCAGGAGUCAUAUGGCCAGAGGUCACAGAAUUUGUGACUUCCUCAAUUGCUCUUAGAGAUAAUAUCACUAUUGUAGAAUCUAAGAUUGGUCUUUUGAGAUGUUUUUAAAAUUUUUGCAUUCUGGCAACUCACCAACCCCAUCCAGACCCAUGACUCAUGUCUCAGCCAGUCCUGUGGCCCCACCAAGAGGCAGACUCAGCAUGCGAGGACCAUUUCCCACACCCAUAUGAUUUUACCCCCAGCUAAUCAGCAGCACCCAUUUCCUAGCCCCCUGCCUGCCUGCCAAAUUAUUCAUAAAAACCCUAGCUUCCGAGUUCUUGGGAAGGAUGUUGUGGGUAAUAAACUCUAUCUUCUGCGUGGCUAACCUCAUGUUAAUUUAACUCUUUCUUUACUGCCAUACUGCCAUCUCAGUGAAUUGGUUUUCUCGGUGCAGUGGGCAGGAAGAACCUGUUGGGCAAUUACACUCUGACCUCCCCUCUCCCUUCAGCUUCCUACUUAGUUUCCCAUUACCAACCUCAAAGUCACUCUGCUUGGAUAACUUGAUUCUCUCCUGAUGUCUACAUCUUCCCUUGAAUGGGAUCCCAUUCCCCUACUACUCACCAACUCCUAAAAUCAAGAUCAGACUCUCCCACCACCUUCUUUGGGCCACAUUCUAGGAUUCCUUGCCCCUUACCCAAAGGCCAAUAGCUCUUCAUUCUCAACAGCCACAGGAGGCCCUCAACCACCCAGUUCCUUGUGCUGCCAGAAGGUGUUGUUGUUGCUCUAAGGGCAAAAGUUGUAUAGAGCAUUUUGAUAAAAAUCCAAGUGGCUACUUGAGAUUUGCUUUCCUUAACAUCUCAUUGCCUAUAAUGUUCAAUAAUGAUACUGUGCUUUGGUAAUAUGAUGAUGACAUUUUUGAAGAUAGAGCCAUAUUUUCACAGUCCGUCCAUGCUGGGCAGGUCCCUUCUGACAUUUGUAAUACUGAAGUAAAAUGAAUAACAGGAAUGGGCAAGAAGGGGCUGGCCUCUUAUUUUAUAGGCAAGGAACAUCACUAUUGGCCCAGCACUACUUUUGAGUUUUUUGGGGGGAAGGUGGUAAUAAAGAUAUAAAAGAUAUAAAAGAGCUAAGAAAAAUGGGCCUUGUUUUUAAGAAAUGUGCAAUCUGGUUGAUAACUCUUUCUUUUUAUAUAUAAUAAUAACAUUGCUUUCAUAAAACUUGUUCUAUGCACUUUACACAUAUUAAUUCAGUUACAUCUUAUGGGCUGGGUACUGUGAUUGUUCCAUUUUACAGAGGAGAAAACUGAGGCACAAAGGAGUUAAGUAACCUGCUUAAGUUCACACCACUGGCACGUGGCAAAUUCAGGACUGAAACACAGGCAGCUUGACCCAGACCAUGCACUACAUUACAUGAUAUUAUGUUUCUUCACUAAUGACUCUAGACCCUUG
rnacentral:lncRNA from 10 species